rnacentral:misc_RNA from 1 species
AGACAGAGCUGUGAAGGAAGAAAUCACAGCUGACUAUCUGUUUUACAGGAGACAGCAUGAGGUUUCUUAUAAUAUUGGCUGCGGCCCUUGCAGUGGCAAGGGCGGGAUCAUACGGUGGGGGACACGGAUACGGAGGAGGAGGCCGGUUGCACGGGGGAUUCAAUGCCCAUCAAUUUGACGUUCCUGUAGGGGCAAACUUCGGUGGGUCAAUUGGUUAUAGAGGCGGUGCUGUAGGAGGUGGUGCCAGUCUCGGCAUGAUUGGCGGAGGGUUUAAUGCCCACCAAUUUGAUGUUCCUGUCGGGACGGCAAGCAUCGGAUAUGAUACAGGCUUCGGUGGCGGCAGCCUAGGUGCAGGAAGUCUAACCGCAGGUGGUGCAGCAGGCAUUUACGAUACAUCGAUUGGCAGAGAUGUCUACGUGGACGAUGGAUAUGCUGGUGGUUUCGACGGAGGCUAUGUGGGCGGGGGCCUUACCAAUGCAAGAAUUGUAGAUACCGACUUAGGUUUCGUUGAUUACGAUGGACAAUUUGACGAUGUUCAGUAUGGAGGAAUUGACUAUGGAUAUGACUACGGUGGCGCUUCCUUAGGACCUGGCGCCGCCGUCACAGUGCUUACCAACAGACGCCGUGGACCUUUUGGUUCUUUUCUUGACCGUAUAACGGGACCUAGAUUCGAACUCGAGCAAGGAUACGUUGUUGGGCCAGGUGGAUAUAAUGGUGGAAUUGGAUAUAAUGGUGGAAUUGGAUAUGGUGGAGUUGGAGGUGACAUUGGGUUUGGAGCAGCAGGAUAUGGUGGUGUCAACGCUGGUUACUAUGAUGAUGAUUACUUAGUAGGUGGCGCUGGACUCGUCCCAGUAAGUCCACCCAUUCCUAUUGGAGGAAUGGGUGGUGGUGUUUAUCCGGUCGGCGGUGGGAUUACCGCCGGUGGCUAUCCUGUACCAGUUGGUGGAGGCUAUCCCGUGGUGUACGGUGGCGGCCCCGGCGUUGCUGCUGGUAACCUCGUUGGCGGUGCCGUCAAUGCAGUGGGUAAUGUGGCAGCCGGUACUGCUAAUGUUGUUGGGGGUAUCGCAAACACUGCUCUCGGCGCUGCCGGAAGUUUUGCAACUGGUGCAGUACAAGGUGUACAACAAGGAGUCAAUGCAUUUACAGGAAAAUAAGAUGGCGACCUGACACGUGAACCAAACUCACGGAAAAAAACGACCUGGACCGAUAUUCGACUUUUCUCCGAUGAAUUUUCCCUUUUCCUAUUAUACUUCCAUCUGUGAUUACGGGCAGUCAACACCUAAUAAACCUUUUCUUUUU